rnacentral:rRNA from 1 species
GACGAACGCUGGCGGCGUGCCUAAUACAUGCAAGUCGAGCGGGUGAAAGAGGAGCUUGCUCCUCUAGAUUCAGCGGCGGACGGGUGAGUAACACGUGGGCAACCUGCCCUGUAGAUUGGGAUAACUCCGGGAAACCGGGGCUAAUACCGAAUAAUCCUUCGGACCUCAUGGUCCGAUGUUGAAAGACGGUUUCGGCUGUCACUACAGGAUGGGCCCGCGGCGCAUUAGCUAGUUGGUGAGGUAACGGCUCACCAAGGCCACGAUGCGUAGCCGACCUGAGAGGGUGAUCGGCCACACUGGGACUGAGACACGGCCCAGACUCCUACGGGGGGCAGCAGUAGGGAAUCUUCCACAAUGGACGAAAGUCUGAUGGAGCAACGCCGCGUGAGUGAAGAAGGUUCUCGGAUCGUAAAACUCUGUUGUGAGGGAAGAACAAGUACCGGAGUAACUGCCGGUGCCUUGACGGUACCUCAUUAGAAAGCCACAGCUAACUACGUGCCAGCAGCCGCCGUAACAC